rnacentral:rRNA from 1 species
UACGAAGGGGGCUAGCGUUGCUCGGAAUCACUGGGCGUAAAGGGUGCGUAGGCGGGUCUUUAAGGCAGGGGUGAAAUCCUGGAGCUCAACUCCAGAACUGCCUUUGAUACUGAAGAUCUUGAGUUCGGGAGAGGUGAGUGGAACUGCGAGUGUAGAGGUGAAAUUCGUAGAUAUUCGCAAGAACACCAGUGGCGAAGGCGGCUCACUGGCCCGAAACUGACGCUGAGGCACGAAAGCGUGGGGAGCAAACAGG